CUCUUUGCGCAGAGGCGGUAACGUACCCAAUGAGGUUUAACCGAGGGGCGUUUAUUGCUAGUUGAAAACUAAUAUUAAGCAGAUUAUGCCAUGCUUCGUGUUGCAGUGUUACAACCCCAUAGACCUUGAUUUACGCAACGUCGAUAAACUUUCUGGAGAAGUCAUGUAACA
rnacentral:snRNA from 1 species